rnacentral:tRNA from 1 species
CGUGCAGUAGCUCAGGGAUAGAGCUCCCGCUUCAUAUGCGGGAAGACCUGGAUUCCAUCCCCGGCUGCUUUC